AAGCUUCAAUUUCAGGUGGAGAAACCUAGCAGCCAAAUUAUAAGAUUAUGGGCUUUGGAACUGAAAUGGACUUUAAAAAGCAUCUGGUCCAAUCAUUUUACAGAUGGGGAAACUGAAGCCCAAAGAGGGGUGAUAAGGGACACUUUAAAUGUUGAGUGUGAGCAUGGGUUACCCUCCAUCAACAUAAAUGUCAAUUCUUCCAUGCCUCGCUAUAUGACUUUAAGUUUCUAUAAGCCAAAAUAAAAAAUCAUCCCUCCUCUGUCUCAACCCUCUCUCAUUUUAACAUGGCUGGUCUUCAAGUGACAGAGACAAAAUCUUUCAUCAGGCCUGAACUCCGAACCUUUGCAGCUUGGCCAGAUUAGCAGGAGCUUCCAUUUGGCUGACAUCUCCUCUGAGAUCUCUGGCUUCCCCACAACAGAGUUCUAUGGAGGACAAAGAAAAUGCCCACCCCGACAGCCCUGGCACUCCUUAACCUCCAUCAGCCAAUCCAAAAGAGAAUGUUAGAGCUCUGGACUUGGAAUCAUCAGUCUGGCUUAGAAAAAGUUACCUAUCUCACAUGGUUUCUGUGAGGUUCAAAUGAUCUAAGUCCCUCACGGGUCUCCAUCAUUUGAUGAAAGGUUAGAGAUCCAGGCCUGCCUGGAGCUGUCCUUGGUACAAGAUUACUCCUUCCUUUUCAGUCCUGGCAACCUCUGCAACAACUUCAAUCAUGUCCAAUCUUUACUGCCAGAAUCCCUGGCCGGGUUCUGGAACAUAUCCAUAUCUACCUGGCAACCUCUGUUCACACUCCUGCCAGCUCCACACUUCCUUCAUUGUUGUCAGAGAAUUCAUCUUCCCUUCUCUGCAUCAAAUCCAACCUGAAAAUCCCUUCUCAGAGCUUCCGUGUGACUUAUUCUUUGGCCACUAUAACAUGUACCAAGAGGAGAAUAUGGAAGGUCCAUGAAAAUACAAGUACAGAGCCAUUUGCUUUUUGGACAACUCAAACUGGAUGGCCCUCCAACAACUCAAACUUAAGCACUCCAAAAUUGAACUCAUUAUCUUUUCCCCAAAACUAACUUUCCUUUCACUGUCCAGGUGCCUACAUCUCCCUAGUCACCAGAUUUAGAACCUGAAUGCUGUAUUCAACUCCCCACUCUCCACUCCACAUAUCCUAUCCAUUGAUUUUCAUAAUUCACCAAUGAGGAAAUUGACUCCGAGUUUAAGGCGUUUCCAUGUUGCAUCAGAGACAGGAUUUGAACUGUCGUCACUAGACUCUAGCAUCAGACUCUUUCCACUUCAUUCAUACUUCACCAAUGAGGAAAUUGACCCUGAGAGUUUAAAGCAUUUCUAUGUUGCAUCAGAGACAGGAUUUGAACUGUGGUCACUAGACUCUAGCAUCAGUCUCUUUCCACUUCACAACUGUCCAUUAAAUAAACAUCUUUUUUUUUCCUUCACUCUCAAUAUUCUUGUGAUCUCAUUGGCUCCCAUGGAAUCAGCUAUCAUCUCUAUGCAGAUGCUUCCCAAAUCUAUAUUUCCAGCCCCAGUCUCUCUGCUGAGCUCAAAUACUGCAUCACCAGCUGCCUGCUGGACAUCUCUGCCUGAAAAUCCCAUUGGCAUCUCCAAUUCAAUAUGGCCAAAAUGGAGCUCAUUAUCUUUUACCCUAAUCCCAUCUUUCCCUCCAUACUUCCCCAUUUUGGAAAAAGGGCCCCAUCAUUCUUUCAGCUCCUCAGGAUCACAAUCUCAGAAUCAUCCUCAGCCCAUCUCCCACUCCCCAUAUCCAACCAGUUGCCAAAUCUUGUCAAUUCCACGUCUAUAAUAUUCAUCCCCUUCUAUCUAGUUGUAACACAACCAGCCUGGUUCAGACCCUUUAUCAUCCUUUACCUGAAUGACUAUAAUAGCUUCGCAGUCAGUCUCCCUGAAUCUUGUCUUUCCAAUCCAUCCUCUGCACAGCUGCCAAAUUAAUGUCCCCACAGUGAGGUCUGACCGUGUGAGUCUCUGAACUCAAGAAGUUUCAAUGUCUCUUCCUUGCCUCAAAGACAAAAUGCAUAGUACUUUUGGGGGGAUUUAAAGCCCUUUCAAAUCUGACUCCAGAUUACCUUUUAAAAACAAUUACUAUUAAUCUUGCCCCACUUACACACACACACACACACACACA